GAAGAAGAAGGAGAAGAAGAGAAGACUUGUUUUAAUGUUUCGGGGGACGUGCCUCAGUUAACUAGUCUAGAAAUCACACUUUGCGUGCAACGCUUGCAGAAAUCGCAAUUCAGGUUCGGUAUUAUUGAACACCAGCCCCUUUAAAGGUAAGAUGAGUUCAGGAAACCCGGUGUCAGGUGUUGCUAAAUCGUUACCUACGCUUGUAAGAUUAUUUAGUGCGAUUGCAUCAGGUUAUGUCUGGAGAAAACACAUGAGAAAAUAAAACAGGACAGAUACAAAUAAUGAUAGAUUCGCCUGCUGAAUCACAGUAAAUGCAACACACUUAAUUAAUGCAUUUCUAUGUGACAGUAACGCAUUGAAUGGUUUUUAAAAUUAAUAAUAAGUAAUAACAAACUAUGGAGUUUGUAGUAGUAAUAAUAAUAAUAAUAAAUAAACAUGCUUUUAACUGGUCCAGUUUGGCACUCACAUGUUGUAUUGUGACCUAUUAAUAUUGCAAUGAUAUUAAUUAUAACUCUAUUUUUGUUUUAUAGGUUUAACAGUGUGAAAUCACAAUCUUUCCAAACACCUCCUGGACACUUAAAUGGCCGGCUACGUUCACACUUGGGGUGUUUUGGAAGAAGAUGGAUGGGUGAGGCAGAGGGUCCAAUCGAUGGAUGCAAAAUUGUUUUUUAGGAGAGCUGAUCAGCCUUGGAGGCCGCGUGUUCUCUCUGUUCCUGCAAGCGCUGCUGUGAGUGUGAAAUACGGCAGACAGACGAGGAGAACCUCAGAUGAGUUUGAUAUUCUGCUCGAAAAGCGGGUAAGACGAACUAAGAGCAGGGAAUCGUUUUUAUACUCCCAUUCAUUGUGGAGCGUCAUGAGAAUUAAUGUCCUUCUCUCCAAACAUCUGUGUUCAGAUGAAGAGGAUGUGUAAGGGCAGACCAGCCUCACAGACACAGCGCUUCUCCAUGAGCUUAAGCUUCGUCUGGAGCCAUGAAGAGUGUGACGCAGACGCAGAGAGGAGGAGACGCUAGAGGCUAACGUACCAUGCAGCUUCUUCAGCUUCCGUUUCCCGAAACGCUUUCUAACAACAAGUAUACUGAUGACACUUUGUAUCUGCUUUCAAGUUGUCGAGAAGAAAAUUGCAUAUACAUGGAUAUAUGACUCUAAAGCUCUAGACAUUUAAAGGUGCUGUCGUUUUUCGACCGUCAUAAAGCAUGAAAAUACCGUAUGUCUGCAGAUAUUUAGGAAACAUGCUAAGCUCACAUAAUUGUUUUUCUGGAAAACAACACUAC
ensembl:lncRNA